GCCGUGAUUGUCUAGUGGUUAGGACGCUGCGUUGUGGUCGCAGAACCCCGGUUCGAAUCCUGGUCACGGCA